rnacentral:rRNA from 1 species
UACGGGAGGCAGCAGUGGGGAAUAUUGCACAAUGGGCGCAAGCCUGAUGCAGCCAUGCCGCGUGUAUGAAAAAGGCCUUCGGGUUGUAAAGUACUUUCAGUCGUGAGGAAGGUGUUAAGGUUAAUAACCUUAGCAAUUGACGUUAGCGACAGAAGAGGCACCGGCUAACUCCGUGCCAGCAGCCGCGGUAAUACGGAGGGUGCGAGCGUUAAUCGGAAUUACUGGGCGUAAAGGGCACGCAGGCGGUUAAUUAAGUUGGAUGUGAAAUCCCCGGGCUUAACCUGGGAAUGGCAUUCAAGACUGGUUAGCUAGAGUCUUGUAGAGGGGGUAGAAUUCCAUGUGUAGCGGUGAAAUGCGUAGAGAUGUGGAGGAAUACCGGUGGCGAAGGCGGCCCCUGGACAAAGACUGACGCUCAUGUGCGAAAGCGGUGGGGAGCGAAGCGAGGGAUUAGAUACC